GACGAACGCUGGCGGUAUGCUUAACACAUGCAAGUCGAACGAGAAGUUUUUUAUUGAACCUUCGGGGGAUAUAAGAGACAGACAGUGGCGAACGGGUGAGUAACGCGUGGGCAACCUACCUAUCGGAGCGGGAUAGCCUCGAGAAAUCGGGAGUAAAACCGCAUAACACGGAUAUAUCGCAUGAUGAAUCCGUCAAAACUCCGGUGUCGAUAGAUGGGCCCGCGUCUGAUUAGCUAGUUGGUAAGGUAAGGGCUUACCAAGGCAACGAUCAGUAGCCGGUCUGAGAGGGCGAACGGCCACACUGGAACUGAGACACGGUCCAGACUCCUACGGGAGGCAGCAGUGGGGAAUAUUGCGCAAUGGGGGCAACCCUGACGGAGCAAUACCGCGUGAGGAAGAAGGUUUUCGGAUCGUAAAGCUCUGUU
rnacentral:rRNA from 1 species